GACGAACGCUGGCGGCGUGCUUAACACAUGCAAGUCGAACGGAAAGGCCCUGCUUUUGUGGGGUGCUCGAGUGGCGAACGGGUGAGUAACACGUGAGUAACCUGCCCUUGACUUUGGGAUAACUUCAGGAAACUGGGGCUAAUACCGGAUAGGAGCUCCUGCUGCAUGGUGGGGGUUGGAAAGUUUCGGCGGUUGGGGAUGGACUCGCGGCUUAUCAGCUUGUUGGUGGGGUAGUGGCUUACCAAGGCUUUGACGGGUAGCCGGCCUGAGAGGGUGACCGGCCAAAUGGGGACUGAGAUACGGCCCAGACCCCGACGGGAGGAAGAGGGGGGGAAUAUGGCAAAAGGGGGGGAGGCCUGAUGCAGCAGCGCCGCGUGCGGGAUGACGGCCUUCGGGUUGAAAACCGUUUAGCCCUGUGAAGAAGCGGGAGUGAGGGUAAGGGAAAAAGAAGCCCCGGCUAACUACGGG
rnacentral:rRNA from 1 species